rnacentral:rRNA from 1 species
GGGGAAUAUUGGGCAAUGGACGCAAGUCUGACCCAGCAACGCCGCGUGAAGGAAGAAGGCUUUCGGGUUGUAAACUUCUUUUAAGGGGGAAGAGUAGAAGACGGUACCCCUUGAAGAAGCCCCGGCUAACUUCGUGCCAGCAGCCGCGGUAAUACGAAGGGGGCUAGCGUUGUUCGGAAUUACUGGGCGUAAAGCGCACGUAGGCGGAUAUUUAAGUCAGGGGUGAAAUCCCGCAGCUCAACUGCGGAACUGCCUUUGAUACUGGGUAUCUCGAGUAUGGAAGAGGUGAGUGGAAUUCCGAGUGUAGAGGUGAAAUUCGUAGAUAUUCGGAGGAACACCAGUGGCGAAGGCGGCUCACUGGUCCAUUACUGACGCUGAGGUGCGAAGGCGUGGGGAGCAAACA